UACGGGGGGGCAAGCGUUGUUCGGAAUUACUGGGCGUAAAGGGCUCGUAGGUGGCCAACUAAGUCAGACGUGAAAUCCCUCGGCUUAACCGGGGAACUGCGUCUGAUACUGGAUGGCUUGAGUUUGGGAGAGGGACGCGGAAUUCCAGGUGUAGCGGUGAAAUGCGUAGAUAUCAGGAGGAACACCGGUGGCGAAGGCGGUUCUCUGGGCAUUACCUGACGCUGAGGAGCGAAAGUGUGGGGAGCGAACAGG
rnacentral:rRNA from 1 species